GGGUGAGAGCGGCCCCGCCCCCCAUGUGAAGCCCCUUCGACGAGUCGAGUUGUUUGGGAAUGCAGCUCUAAAUGGGUGGUAAAUUUCAUCUAAAGCUAAAUAUCGGCCAGAGACCGAUAGCGCACAAGUAGAGUGAUCGAAAGAUGAAAAGCACUUUGGAAAGAGAGUCAAACAGUACGUGAAAUUGUUGAAAGGGAAGCGCUUGCGACCAGACUUGCCCGCGGGGGAUCAGCCUCCCUUCGGGGGGGUGCACUCCCUCGCGGUCAGGCCAGCAUCGGUUUGGGCGGUCGGAUAAAGGCCCCGGGAACGUGGCUCCUUUCGGGGAGUGUUAUAGCCCGGGGUGCAAUGCGGCCAGCCCGGACCGAGGACCGCGCUUCGGCUAGGAUGCUGGCGUAAUGGUCGUCAGCGACCCGUCUUGAAACACGGACCAAGGAGUCUAACAUCCAUGCGAGUGUUUGGGUGUCAAGCCCAGGCGCGGAAUGAAAGUGAACGGAGGUGGGAACCCCGGGGCGCACCAUCGACCGAUCCUGAUGUCUUCGGAUGGAUUUGAGUAGGAGCAUGGCUGUUGGGACCCGAAAGAUGGUGAACUAUGCCUGAAUAGGGUGAAGCCAGAGGAAACUCUGGUGGAGGCUCGCAGCGGUUCUGACGUGCAAAUCGAUCGUCAAAUUUGGGUAUAGGGGCGAAAGACUAAUCGAACCAUCUAGUAGCUGGUUUCAGCCGAAGUUUCCC
rnacentral:rRNA from 1 species